rnacentral:rRNA from 1 species
UCUGUAGCAAUACAGGGAAAAGUCUAGCGGCGAACGGGUGCUUAACACGUGGGCAACCUGCCGAAAAGUGGGGGAUAGCUCGCCGAAAGGCGAAUUAAUACCGCAUGUGAUCAGAGUGGACAUCCAUUCAAAAUCAAAGUCGGGGCAACCUGACGCUUUUUGAGGGGCCCGCGGCCUAUCAGCUAGUUGGUGAGGUAACGGCCCACCAAGGCUUUGACGGGUAGCUGGUCUGAGAGGACGACCAGCCACACUGGGACUGAGACACGGCCCAGACACCUACGGGUGGCAGCAGUCGAGAAUUUUUCUCAAUGGGGGAAACCCUGAAGGAGCGACGCCGCGUGGAGGAUGAAGGUCUUCGGGUUGUAAACUCCUGUCAUUUGGGAACAAUGCGUAAAUAUUAACUGUAUUUGCGUUGAUAGUACCAGAAGAGGAAGAGACGGCUAACUCUGUGCCAGCAGCCGCGGUAAUACAGAGGUCUCAAGCGUUGUUCGGAUUCAUUGGGCGUAAAGGGUGCGUAGGCGGCGCGGUAAGUCGGGUGUGAAAUCUUGGAGCUUAACUCCGAAACUGCAUUCGAUACUGCCGUGCUUGAGGACUGGAAAGGAGACUGGAAUUCACGGUGUAGCA